rnacentral:rRNA from 1 species
GACGAACGCUGGCGGCGUGCUUAACACAUGCAAGUCGAACGGAAAGGCCCCUUUGUUGGUACUCGGGUGGCGGACGGGUGAGUAACACGUGAGUAACCUGCCCUUGACUUCGGGAUAACUUCAAGAUACUGGGGCUAAUACCGGAUAGGGAUCCUUUCUUCAUGGUGGUGGUUGGAAAGCUUCGGCGGUUUUUGAUGGACUGGCGGCUUAUCUGCUUGUUGGUGGGGUAGUGGCUUACCAAGGCGUUGACGGGUAGCCGGCCUGAGAAGGCGACCGGCCACCUUGGGACUGAGAUACGGCACAGACUGCGAAGGGAGGGAGAAGUGGGGAAUAUUGCACAAUGGGCGGAGGCCUGAUGAAGAAAGGCCGCGUGCGGGAUGACGGCCUUAGGGUUGUAAACCGAUUUCAGCAGGGGCGAAGCUCGUGGUGACGGUACCUGCAGAAGAAGCACCGGCUAACUACGUG